UGAGCAAUCUGCCCUUCUCAUCGGAAUAAGCGUUGGAAACGACGUCUAAUGCCGAAUACGACCUCCUUUCGCAUGAUCGGAGGUGGAAAGCUCCGGCGGAGAAGCAUGAGCUCGCGGCCUACCAGCUAGUUGGUGAGGUAAUGGCUCACCAAGGCAUUGACGGGUAGCCGGCCUGAGAGGGUGACCGGCCACACUGGGACUGAGACACGGCCCAGACCUCUACGGGA
rnacentral:rRNA from 1 species